rnacentral:lncRNA from 1 species
UGGUUAACGAAUCUGACUAGGAACCAAGAGGUAGCAGAUUCAAUCCCUGGCCUUGCUCGGUGGGUUAAGGAUCUGGCGUUGUCAUUGCUCUGGUGUAGGCCUACAGCUACAGCUCUGAUUAGACCCCUAGCCUGGGAACCUCCAUAUGCCAUGGGAGUGGCCCAAGAAAUGGCAAAAAGACCAAAGGAAAAAAAAAAAAGAAUCUCUAUCCAUGUUGCUGCAAGUGGUAUUAGUUUAUUCUUUUUUAUGGCUGAGUAGUAUUCCAUUAUAUAUAAAAUCUUCUUUCUUGGCAAAGGUUUUUUUCAUAAAGUUGAGUCAAGAAGUCAACCACAGCCUCAGUCAUCUGAAAAGUUGUCUAUGGCUUGGUUAUCUGCUUCAAUCAUUCACAUGAUUAUUGGCAAGAGAUCUUAGUUCCUUGUCAUGUGGGCCUCUAUCUCCAGCUACUUGAGUGUCAACUGGCAGUUGGCUUCCUUAAAGUGAGUGAUCCAAGUGAGAGAACAAGCUGAAAUCAAAAUAGUUUUUGUCCUAUGAAAAAGAAAGUCAUGUGACAGCACUUCUACUUUCUAUAGUCCAUAGGAGAGGGAAAUUAAGUUCCAUUCUUUGAAGAGAGCAUUAUCAAAGAAUUCGUGGGCAUAUUUAAAAGCCAACACAGUUUGUUAAUGAGAAAUGCCAUCAUCUGAAAGUAAAUGGUAGUUACUGGCUGAGGCUUCUGGGAAGGGAUCUGUAUCAAUUAGGAUCCUAGCAGGAAAUAGAUAAUUUCAAGAAUGUUUAAUAAAGGGAUCAUUUACAAAGACGCAUUCUGCAUAAGUGGAAGCCACAAAGGAUACUAAAUUCCCAUGGCGUUAAUGCAGUUAACCAUCCCGAGGGGCUGAGGAAUAGAAUAAUUCCUGGAAUCUGAAGAAGGGAGUCCUGUGGAAAAGGCUGCCUUUGGUUGAGGGAUAUAGCCAGAUAAACAUUAGCUUAGAGAACAGGACUUCUGGCAUAAAUACCACAACCUCCUUUCCUCUUUCUUCCCCUUCCUUCUGACAGGGUUAUUCUUUAGCCAGACUGAACUGACAGCUAGGUCAAAGGAGACUGUUAAUGUGAUCCAUUAUCCAUCAGAGUAGAGGUCAGGUGGAGGGUAGAUCGGGCAGUCCAAACAGAGGAUCUCUUUCAUAAGAUGAGACUUAAACUUGAAUGAAAGAUGAGUAAUAAGGAGAUCUGUUGAGAUAAGGAAAUGUAUGUGGGAUUUAAAAAAAGAACUAAAAGGCUAUCAAAACAGAGCUUAUGUGCUAUGGAGAGGCUGAAGUAGGCUGGACAUUGCAAUGGAUGGAGCCAUGUUAUUGAGUCUUGAGAGAGGCAGGGGUUUAGAGUUCCUCUAAGAGGUAGCACAUUACAGUUCUUAAACAGAGAUGCUCCAAGACAGUUAUUAAUGGGAUGGGGUUCCCACUGUGGCACAGAGGAAAUAAAUCUAUUAUCCAUGAGGAUGUGGGUUCAAUCCCUGGCCUCGCUCAGUGGAUUGGGGAUCAGUUUGGCUAUGAACUGUGGUAUAGGUCACAGAUGUCACUCGGAUCCCUCGUUGCUGUGGCUGUGGGACUGUCACCCCAAUUCGACCAUUAGUCUGGGAAUUUCCAUAUGCCACAGGUGCAGCCCUGAAAAAAAAAAAAAAGGAAUGGGAGAGGAGGGGAAAAUCUAGGAGACAUAUCUGUUUAGAUAUUGGGAAUGAAUAAUGUCAAUAAAAAUUUCAUUUUGAACAACCUUUUAGGUAAAAUAAAUACUACAUACUAAUGGUCAAAUGAAUAAAAAUGUGAAUUUGUUGUAAUGUGGUAUCUGUGCUUACAGACUCAUGCUUUCUAGAAUUUUCCAAAACUGCAAGCAAGCAAGCCUGUAAUCAUAAACAUUUAAAUUCUAGAACAAUUAUAUAAUAUUGAAGUAUGGGCCUAGGAAUGAAAAUAAUGUUAUAAUAGCAAUAGUCAUGACAAACUCGUCACCAACCUUUUUCUGGAGAUCUGCUCUUUGAAUGAUAUAGGCAUGGGCUAAGUGUUGGUUGGGUAUAGCAUUUAUUCAUGCAUCCAUCUGUGGCUUGGGUACUUAGUAGGAAAGUCCUAUGAGAUUCAUGUUGUCCCAUCUUAUUUGAUUUGAAACACACAUAAAUUGUAAUAUUUCAUAUGUACAUGAGAUACUGCAAUGAAAAUAAGCCUAUGUAAUAAGCAACAUUGGUAUUUAUGCUAUAGUUUAGGAAAAAAAAUAAGAGUAUGGUUAAGCUUAAGAUGAGUCCUGCUUGAAUUACACCCAUUCAUUUAGCAAAAUCUGACCUGCUAUCAAUACAAUAAUUCAGAGGGAAAAAGUAGCAAUAAAUACUUAGUGAUAUUAAUGCAGAGUGGGACGUGUGAGAGAUAUAUGACUGAUUAUACUCAGUGACUUUAAUAUUACAUUUUCUUGUAAGCCCAGUGAGAUGUUAACUGUGAAUUUCCUAGCUGCACUCCCACACACUUAGAAUGUAGAGAUAAUUGAUGUUAACAGAGAUGACCCUUGAGUGCCCACUGAGUUAAAAAAAAAAAAAAAGAGCAUAUUACAUUCUGAAUAGGUUUUCUUUGUGUUAUAGGUUCUUCCUGAUACUGUGAAAAGUAUCAAUGCAGUUAAGAGUUUUAAAACAAUUAGAAUAAGGAGUAAGGAUGAUUCUUGUUCAGCUCUUACCUAUCAUUAUUUCCAGGGCUUAAUACCCAUACAAGACCUUCCAGAAACUAAAUGUCUUAGAGACAUGAACACUUAUAAACUUUGAAAAACAUUAUUCAAUAUAUUGCUAAUUAACACUCAUUCAUUCAAAUUUUUGAGUAUCCAGAAGCUGAAAGUCAUAAUUGUGUGCUGAAAGAUAAAAAUAUGUUCCAGCCCUGAUGGAGAUUGCAAGUUAUCCCUGAUGGAGAUCACUUUUAAUAAAUAAACUCAAAUGAUUAAUUUACCACCGUAAUAAGAGCUACAAUGAGCUAUACAGAUGCCAAGAAUAAAACAGCAGUGGUCUAAUCUGGUGAGUUAGAGGAUGUUAAGCUCUGUUAGCAUCAGUGUCACAGCUAACGUCUCCCUCUUUAAUAGAAAAUUAACCGUUAAAUCAAGGAAUGUAGCACCAGCUAUGGGCCAAAUAACCACCAACAUCUCUUUCCCAAAUAAACUUUUUCUUUUCCAAUAAAAUUAUUGAAGUUCAUCUUGCAGACCUUCAUGUAGGCAUGGGAACCAGUGAAAGAGUCAGGGAGAUUUUUGGUGUGAGGCGGUUCUAACCUCAGUGUUUUCACAAUGGCCUCUAAGAAAGAGUGACCGCCCCCCACAUGAUCUCUUUAUCAAAAGUCAGAAGUGGAAAAUGAAAUGUAUCUGAAGUAGUCCCAUUCCAUGGCUAUUAAACACAAACUCAAUCUAAUAGAACCUGUAUAUUUAUCUUAAUAAUUGACCCUAGCUCUGUCCUGUGCUGUUAUUCGUCAUUGGAAAAGGAAGGAAAAUACACAGAUAGUGGACUGGGUAUGUGGCAAGAGCCCUAUACCCAGGUUGUCUGGGUCAAGCCCAAGAAGGGAAGUGAAGAGACUCUGGGGGCUUAAAAAGAUGCAAAGUGGCACUGUCAAAUGUAAAAGAGGCUGAAAUGAAAGGCUUGGGACUCAUUAGCAGAGUACUAGAAUAUCAUCUUUCCUGUAGCACUCAAUUUUCAAAGUUGUGGUUAGAUUAUUUGAAAGGUUGGGAAAUUAGUAAUGCUAUGUUGUAUACAUGUAUGUAUGUGUAUGUAAUGCAUACACACAUUUAUGAUUUGAAAUAAUCUAUUUAAAAAUGGAAAUUAUAGAGGUCAAACAGAAAAACAACUCAAAGAGGAAAUAUCCAAAUAGCCGAAGUAAGGGAAAUGCUAUUGUGUAAGCAACCACUCUCCACAAGCAGCUGGAUAAUAAAACUGCACAGGUCAGAAAGAGGUCACUCAAGACAUUGCCUGACCAGCCGGAGCCUGGAUCCUCCCACAAGCCUCAUCUCAUUCUGUGCUUAGAUUUUCCUGCAAAUCAUGGUAAUUGGGAAUCAGCUCACACAGCUGUGAACCACAGCUCACAGAUACAAGAGAACAAAUUUAAAGUUGAGCUUCUCUGCUGGAGAGAGAAGGGAAGUGACUUGUUUAUGUACCAUUUCAUCACUCUCUCCAAGAGGCACUAGCCUUGGGUUAUGUUCCAUUAAAGGUGUAGUGACAUGGUUUUAAAACAAGUGGAAGAUUGGUCUGUUAUUAGAAUUAGGGAAUUUGGAUUCAAUUCUAAGUUAAAAUCAUGAAAUAUUAGUGCUGCAAGGAAGCUAGCUGCAAUAUAAUCCAGUUUUCUCCUUUCAUUGCUGAGAGUUUUUUGACCUAGAGAUGUAAAGAUUUGUUAAGUUAGUUAAUGAUAGUAUCUGGACUAGAAUCCUCAUCGGUCUGUAUUACUACUUCUAUAAUGUUAUUCCUUCACUCUUGGGAAGAAUAUCCCUGGUACCCUGAGCCUCAUGCCAAUCAACUGUAGCAAUCUUUCUUCCAUGUCUGCAUUAUUUAUGAUAUUUAAGAGUUUUCCAAUUGAGGACUCUGUCAUAUGGUUUAUCAUUUUUGUCUUGCCAUCCUCAUAUCUGUUUUCAUCCAGGUGACUUCAUAACCAUAUCGAUUGUUAAUCUAUUUACUAAAUUCAGGUUUUCUUUCCAUGUUUUACUCUAUUUAUCUUCACUUGCUUUAGCAAUCAGUUCCAGUUAUCCCAUCCUUUACCAUUUGUUCAUCAGAACUAUAUCAAUUACAUCAUGUCUAAAAUCUCAAAAUCUAGUAUCUUAAUAUCUGAUUAUAAUCCUAUUCUUUUAGAUUACACAUCAUUUUUCAUUCUUCUACCUAUAUUAGUUACAGAUAAGGUGUGAAACAGACCCCAAAUCCAAGGACUCUUCCUCAUGUAAUAGUUUGCAAGUGGGUGUCAAGGGUGACAAGGUCAUCAAGGAACUCAAAUUCCUAUCUUUUGGUUCUGCUGCUCUGGAGGGACCUCUCUUUGUUCACAUAUUUGAAGCUGGUUUACUACUAUAAGCUGGAAUGAUAUAUAUAUAUUCCAAAACUCAGAAAAAAAAAGAGAGAAUGAAGAACUAGCAACUUUCUUAUUAAAAGAUGUGGGAGUUCUCUUGUGGCACAGUGGAUUGAGGAUCCUGUGUUGUCACUGCAGUAGCUUGGGUCACUGCUUUGGAAUGGGUUUCAUCUCUGGCCCAGGAACUUCCGCAUGCCAUGGGUGAGGCCCAAAAAAAAGGACUCAAAAAUUGCACAUAUUCCCAUUUGAUAUCCUAUUGGCUAAAGUUUGGCUACAUGUUCAUGCCUUAUGUCUUAGUCUGUACAGGCUUCUAUAACAAAAUAUCAUAGAUUGAGUGGCUUCUAAACAAUAGAAACUGGAGUUCCUGUCUUGGUGCAGUGGAAAUGAAUCUGACUAGGAACCACGAGGUUGUGGGUUCGAUCCCUGGCCUUUCUCAGUGGGUUAAGGAUCUGACAUUGCCAUGAGCUGUGGUGUAGGUCGAAGAUGUGGCUGGGAUCCUGCGUUGUUGUGGCUGUGGCGUAGGCCGGCAGUUGUAACUCUGAUUUGACCCCUAGCCAGGGAACCUCCAUAUGCUGUGAGUGUGGCC